UAGGCCUAACACAUGCAAGUCGAACGGCAGCACCAUAAGAGCUUGCUCUUAUGGGUGGCGAGUGGCGGACGGGUGAGGAAUACAUCGGAAUCUACUUUUUCGUGGGGGAUAACGUAGGGAAACUUACGCUAAUACCGCAUACGACCUACGGGUGAAAGCAGGGGACCUUCGGGCCUUGCGCGAUUGAAUGAGCCGAUGUCGGAUUAGCUAGUUGGCGGGGUAAAGGCCCACCAAGUAGACGAUCCGUAGCUGGUCUGAGAGGAUGAUCAGCCACACUGGAACUGAGACACGGUUCAG
rnacentral:rRNA from 1 species